GGUGGCUCAGUGGUAGAGUGCUUGCCUUGCAUGCCAGAAGCCCUGGGUUUGAUUCCUCAGCACCA
rnacentral:tRNA from 1 species